CUCGUAAGCAGUAUGGGCCUAUUGGAUUACUACGGUGACAAUGCAGAGUGCAGACUGACGGAGACUGGCGGCAACAGGGUGAGCAAAUGUAGUCUACAUACAUUACAGGAGUGAAAGUUUACAGACCGGCUGAAAACUGCUGUUUAUGUCUUCACGGUACGACGUACCACUCCGUACCGGCUUACUGUCACUCCUGCUGCCACCGCAAAUGUAAUUGAAGCGCAGUAAAACAGACAUUUAAAGCUCCUCAUUUUACAUUUUGUCUUAGUUUUCUCCUCAUGUUGUUUGAGUGGCUUUUCUGUGUGUUUUCCCUAGUGUUUCUGUUCCCCUGUAGUCCAGUCUUGUGAGUUUUCAGUUUGUGUUUGACCCUGUCUCCCUUCUAUUCUCUAUGUUUUAAUCUUUAGAUCAGUUUUCAGUGUUUUUUUCUUGUUUUAUUUUGUAGUAGUUAUUCCCUGUGUUUCUAGUCUGGUUUUACUUCCCUAGUUUUCCCUCCUUCGUUAAUCACCCAUGAGUUUCACCUGUGUCUCGUUUGCCUCACCUGUUGCUCGUUUCCCAGUGUGGACAUGGUCCCUGUCUUCCUCUCUGUCCUUGUUGUAUCAUUGUAUGAAUGCAGAUGCUUAUUCUUGUGUCCUCUGUUGCUCCUUUCGAUUUUGCCCCUAGAAAUUUUUCUUUAUUUGGAUUUUGCUUCUUGUGUUUUUUGCAUUUGGGAUUUUUUUGUUGCUUUUCUUUUGCUCCUUUUGAAUAAAUCCUUUUUUGUUCUGUAUUUUGGGUUCUUUCCCUUUUCCAGAACUCCGGAUCGUGACAGAAUGAAUCAACAAGGGCAGAGGGGAAGACAGGGACCAUGUCCACACUGGGAAACGAGCAACAGGUGAGGCAAACGAGACACAGGUGAAACUCAUGGGUGAUUAACGAAGGAGGGAAAACUAGGGAAGUAAAACCAGACUAGAAACACAAGGAAUCAACUACUACAAAAUAAAACUGAUAAAAAGACUAAAACACAGAAAACAGGAGGGAAACAGGGUCAAGCACAAACUGAAAACUCACAAGACUGGACUACAGGGGAACAGGAACAAUAGGGAAAAUACACAGAAAAAUCACUCAAAUAAACAACACAAGGAGAAAACUAAAUUAACAAAACAUAUCAUGACAAACAAGAUUGUAUUUAAAACUCAAACAAAAGAGCCUUGUACUGUUUGCAAACCAACAUACUCAUGAUUUCUCUUCUGCAAUCUUGCGUGAAGAUACUCGGUUAGGUUUGGCCAAGAGUUGAUGAUUUCAGUACCAAAAAUGUCAGCGGUGUCAGAGAGCGCCUUUCUGUGACAGAGACCAUAUUUCUGAGUCCUCUGUGAAGCAUGCCUAUCCUCUAAGAUCCACAAAGCCACGUCUAAUAUUUCCCUUUAUUCAGGGGACAAAAUAAGUGGUAAAGAUGUUAACAAGAAGGAAACAAAACGGAAGUGUGUCGCUGAUCUGAUCUGACCUUAAACAUUCAAAGGGUUUUUCUCAGGCUAAAAUUUGACCAAUGUUAUAACUACUCACUCUUGGUCCACUCAAAAUACCCCCACUCCCAAGUUUUCACUAAAAUUGGCCCUGAAAAAGCUGCACACACACACAGAGUAGUGUAUAAUGACAGAGCCAUUGUUGUUUGUGUCCAGCGAGCUGCCCUCUCAGACAGCGUCAGUGAAACACCAGGAAUUUAAACAUACACUACAUGUCUGUGUAUCUGUGAGUCUGAGUGCUUCUCCUGUGUAAUUUUAUUUAACUUUUAUACACAAAAAGGCCUCCCAGCCUCUCGGGGAGGUGACUUUAACAACAGGCUGCACACAUGGGAAAGUUUUUUGGUAAUUUGACUUCAUGAAAACAGCAAAUCAUAAGCUACGGUUAUAAAGAAAGGAUCAAUAGCAGCCAGGUUUCCCUCUAAUUCUGGUGUUCAGUAACUGUUUUCAUUUUCUCAUGAUGCCAUGUUAAGCCUCAUUUUAUUUUCCAGUUUACGUUUGAAGCACAAAGGCCCAUUUUCUGGAUAUGAAAUCCCUACUUUCCUCACAGUUCAAGUAUUUUCUUCCUCUGCUUGGAUGUUUUGCAGCAGUGGCAGGUUUCAGUCUCAUAAAUCUGGAAGAAAACACUUGUGUAGUGGUUGUAUAGCAUCUUUGUCAGUGGGGUCCUCCAGCCCGGGCCGAAGAUGCCUUCUCAUUAAUUCGGGGGUGCUGGGCCUUAUUGUUGUGCUAAUCAGGCACAGAUGUGGACACCCCGACUCCAGAAAAUCAUCCGAGCAGUCUCGACAGCAGACGCCUCUCAGGAGGGAGGAGGGGGAGGCCGUUCUGGGGGGACCGUUAUAAUUGUUUUUGACAGGGAUCCAAACCAAAUAUGUACAUGCGUGAAAAUGAAUCAAGCUUGAGCUGUCAACCUCUGAACUGAGAUAUUUAUGAUGGUGGUGCGGAGGGAAGAGUCGGGAUUCCUUUGAGGAAGAAGAUUUUUAAUUAUGGUUUUAGAAGAAGAGAUGAGGAGACAGAAAAAUGUAAUCCUUCCUUCCUUAUCCUAAUAUGGGCAAGACAUUUAACUUAAUUCUGCACUGACAGAGGUUUAAACCUACAGUCAGUCACUGGAGGGAGUUUUUUCUGGACCUGGAGUUUCUCGAGUUUCAGCUUCCUUCCCUGGGCUGAUACAGUUACAUAAAAAUGCCACUAAUGGAAAAUGGUCUAUAAGUCUGUCUUGAGAUUUCAUAGAGAUUUAGGAGUACAUGUGUGAAAGAGGUUUUAUUAGACCGGAUGGAUCCUCUCCAGGGUGAAACCUCAUUCUACGUUUAUCAUCAUGGCUGUUUGUCUUCUUCGUUCACACUCUCAGAGGAAAGUGUGUUUCCUCCUCUGUCACCAACUUUCCCUGUCAUUGUGAGUCAGUGCAGGAAUCCACCUCUGUGUUUGUGUGUGUGUGUCUGUGUGUGUGAGGUGGUUAGAGAGCUCCCGCUGCUUUCCUCUGACCCAUGCUUCCUGUCUCCACACACCUGCUAACACACUCACACAUGCAGACAUACACACAAAUCAACAUGCUUCAGAGUCAGAGGAAUUAAUUAUUCUAUAAGGUGCAGAAGUUUUUGUCAAGUCUACCUCAUAAUCUUGCUAGCUGAAACAAACCCAAAAGCAAAUGUCAGUCUAAGACCCACUACAUGCAUGCUUUUUCCACACACACACAAAAAUGUAUCAGGUCUUGUGUUGGACUGGAUAUCACGGAGUGUCCACUUGGUUGCUGAAUAGAGAUGUGAUGUUUGUGAAUAAGUCAGUAGUUUGAAUGGCUGUUUUAAGAGACCAGUGAGAAUUGUUCAUAGUGGUGAGCCGUUCAUUUGUGAGCUGUCCUCAUAUUCAGAUUGCCCACGCUGCCUUCACGUGUUACAGUUACAAUGUCAUAUAGCAGACGUUUUUAUCCAAAGUGAUGUACAUAUCAAUCAUACACCAGUUGAGGACAUGCACUAGGAGCAAGGUAGUUUUAAGUGUCUUACCCAAGGACACAACAGAUAUAUCUGUUGUGUCCUUGGGUAAGACACAACAACCUUCCAGUUGUUGGACAACCGCUCUACCUCCUAAGUUAUUGCUGCCCCAUGUCACCUGUGUUUCCAAAAUGCCAGGUAGGAUAGUACAAUUUUCCAUUUACGUUUCUAUCAUGUCUUCAUUUUUUAUCAGUUAGCUGCAGUCUGCUUAGUUUUUAUUGUGCCAUAAAUUUUUUUAGGUGAGGGAAAAUUUCAAAAUAGUGAUCUCACUGUCCAAGCAUGGGGAUAUGGCACCAUCCUGUGAUAUGUUUACAAUGAAAGCAAUAUUGAUAUUUCAAAAUAAUUCCUACCAAAAGAGCAUAUAUUGGUGGGUUGUAUACCCCUGGUUGACUUCUAAAAAUUAAAUAAGUUUAAUGGAGAGCCAGUUUUAUUUGAACAGCUCUUUUAAAAGAAACGGUUCCUCAAAAUCCGACUCCCAUUAAAGAGCCAUAAAUCCCAUCUCUCUUGCAAAAAGCAUCAGAGGUCACAUAGUUCUCGAAGUCCAGUACAUUUCGGUUGAAGGAUUAAUUCAGUCUUAUUUGCUCAUUUUCUUAACUCUUAGUUUUGGAUAUUUAAAGGUUAUUAAGAGGCAGGCCUGGAUUGAUUUGACAGUAACGCUGUGGAUAUUUUACCACACGCAAGGUUAACGAAAACUUAGUCAGCAUUUCUAAUAUGGUGACUGUUUAAAACUCCACUUCACAAUCCCAUGGUUGAUGUGACUUAGACCUCAUUCAUACUUUAUAUACAGAUUUUUCGUGGUGUUAGUGUCAAUAUUCAGAGAUUAUAUGUUACACAUUGAGAUGUUUUGUAUUGACAGAUUUCUCCUCUCCUCUUUUGUUGCUCAUACGGUUGAGGAGAUUAUGCAAAUUAUGAAAACAACUCUAUUUCCUAAUUAUACACAACUCUUCUUACCCUUAAAUUUGCAUCUAAGAUACUUGUGCAUACGUGGUCAGUUACCCUUCAUCUCUGCGCUGAAACGUCUUACUUUCACAAGCAUUCCUUCACAGUUUCUUUGACAUCCAGCCAAUCAGAAUCUCCGAUAGACAAAACCCAUCCUCUCUCAUUCAAUCCCGAGCAGCUUUAAUUAACCCUUUGUGUGUCCAGGGAUGGUGAAGAGGGCCUGGCUCAUGUCAGAGGAUGAAUGAGCUGAUGCCGGAGACACUGUGGGAUUAAGAAUAUCCCCCCAGAGGAUGAUGGGACAUGAAGGGAGGGGAGUCAGUCUGUUGAGAUUAACACCUCGGUUUGCUUUUCCCACAUGGCCUCUCAAUCCCUCUGGAAUGCUGCAUUGCUGUCCCUUCAAACUAACGUCUUUCUUUCCAUACAGAGCUAAUUAGAAUAUGAGUCCAGACCCUAAAAUGGUCACGAGUUUCUUCUGUUUCCACAUGAAAAGAGUGUUUUUGAUAAGGAAAGCCGUGGCUAACAAUUCUAACUGUAUCCAGGAGGGUUGUUGACGAACUCCAGGGUUUUAGUUAACACCUGCUAAAUUCAUGGCUUCAGAAAGGUAUUUUAUUUUAUUCAGGUCCUGCUGUUUUGCAUUUCUAGAUAACCUAUUUGAUUAGUUUUAGAAUUAUUUCUAUGUUUCUUUAAAGUGCUAGAUCUGUGGAUGUAGAUUAACUAAUUUAAAUAAUAACAGUCCUUUAGGGUUUUCAGUCAAGAUAGUGUAAGUGUUUUUAAGUCUGCUUCUUUACGAUAUAUAUUUUACUUAAAAAUAUAUAAUUGUUUGUUCAUUUUCUCAGUUUAGCAUAGAAUUUUAGGUACUUUAGUAGAAAAACAAGCUGAAGAGAGGCAGAAAAUGAUGGGGGUAGAGAGAGGGGGCGAAGGCUUGAGGCCAGGAAUCGAACCACCAACCGUUUUGACGGGGACUGCAGCCUCUAAACAUGAAGCAUAGAUCAGCAGGCAUCAAUGCCCCCAUCAGACAAUUUCUACCACCGUUUGAUUCUCAGUCAUGAUGCCAAUAAACGGUAAAAUAUUUGUAGUUUUACUCACUGAGAUUUAAGUCAUUCAUAUUAAGUUGUACUUCUGGUUCGCACAAGGACAGAAGCAAGAAACACUGACAGGAAAGAAAUGUCCAUUUUCUAUUGGUUACAAAUUGGUGGGAAUCACCGAAGAGGAAGUACACUAUUCUGUUUGGUAAAAAUGUAAAGGUCCAGUCAGCUUUAAGUUUAAUUUGAAUACUAUAAUGCUGUAUAUUCCACUAUGUAUCUUGACAAAUCUUAACACCAUCGCCACCACCAUUGUGUGUGUGCACUCCCCUAACUCUGACAUCUCCUCAUUGGUUCAUAUUUAUAGGUCCUGUUUUGCCUAUUUGAUUGUUAGUUGACAGUUUGAGGGGACCCAUGAUUAAACCCUGAGGAACUCCAUAUUAAACAGGGCAAGUUUGACAAUAAUAUGACGGAUUUCUUAUUUUCUGUUGUUAAGAAUUAUCAAGAGUUUUAUUAUCAUGGUGAAAUACAGAGGUCAAAGACGUCAACAAUGGUUGAUUUAGAGAUGUUAGAUUCACAAAAGUCAAGACCCAUUGUGGUUGAGAUGUUUUAAUUAGAUCGAUUUCUUUUAUUGAGAUGUUUGCCUCAGACUGGAGCUGCUCACUUCACGUCUGAUGAUGGACAUCACCAAGCUGUGGACAAACUGACGGCCACAGGGCCUAAAAGUAUGAGCUUAAGGUUUAAAUCCCUUAUCGCCUAACAUCCCAUUGUCCCCCAAAUCCAUCCUACCUUUUAAAAGAAGCCUACUAUGAGCCCUGCAACAAUGUGGCCCGUAAGACCCCCCUGGACAAAAAGAAAAAGAGAUCCCUUCUCUUUCUUACCCCCAGCUCUCUCUCUCUCCUUCACUCCGUAUAAAAGCCUGAUCCUCCAGUGUGAGAAGCUCUUAAUCAGGGGCCAAACAAUGAGACCCCAGAUCCCUGCUCCUUGACAGAGGGCCUGAUCUAAUAAGCAGAGGCGAGCUGAGAUGAAGGGGGUGCAGGUGGCCUGAUCCGAGGGAUUACUGGGAGAGAUCUACGCCAGAGUGGGGGUGUUGGAGUGGGGGGAAAAGAAGGAGCAGAUAAGGGGAAUGAUAGGUAAAAGGGAGUGCAUGAUGGAAAAGAUAGAAGAUAGAAGAGUAGACCAAAGAGGACUGACAUAUGACAAAGUUAAGAUGAUUUGAGACGGCUAAAUAUGUAUCUAAAAACUUCAAUUUAUUAAUGUCAGAAAUAUGAUAGAAACUGAGUUUUAGUUUGCACUUUUGAGAGUUUACACCUCAUCCCUUAUGUUUUAUUUUUCAUAAAUUUUGUCACAGUUUCAGCUUUAGUAUCAUAGCAAGAGUUUACUCCGCAUGAGAACUCUUUUUACUUAAUAAAUUAAUAAUAGCAAGAUGGAUGGCCAUAACUCUUACAAAUCUCUGGGUCUUGACCUCAGGAACACCUCGUCACUUUUGCAGCAGUGAUGCUGAAUAAACUGCACACCUGAACUUUUUUGCUCUUUUAAGCAAAGUUUUCUAAAUUUUGUUAAAGUUAUGAAUAAUGGUAAGACUUAAACAAUAUUCCUCCUCCUAGCACUUCCUUGGUCCGUCCUGCCUGCUCCACAUUUAUAGUGAUCCUGUCUCGCCCCUGUAGCUACAUACAACUUCAUCCUACCACCACGUGUGUAACUGUAACAUGCGUGUUGAAAGUGAGAUUUUACCAGAGUGUAAAAGUCCAGCCUUGAACUGGACCUAUUUAAGUACCUUGUGUUUUAUGUUUGGUCUCAGAUGUGUGAGGAAGAAACUGAUUCAAAUUUAAAGAUCUGGUGAAAGGUUGCUGGUGUUGCUUCUGGUGAAGGGGGUAGCAGACAUCACAGCUCCCCUCCAGCCCUUCCAGGCUGCCCUCCAGCACCACUUUUUUCUUCCUCUCAAUCCAAAAGCCUUCCUUCAUCCCCUGCUUAGCUGCCUCUUAACCCUACCAUCACCCCGAGGUCCAUCCCUUCUUCUUCCAUCCCCCUCUCCUCUGUGAAAAAUCUCCUCCCUGCAGCCGUAAUCACAUGAUGACUGUACAUCUGUUCAGACACAGACAGCACAAGGUGUUGGUUGAUACAAAUAUUCUCCUUUAUGGAAUGGAGACAGCAAAAACAUCCAUCAAAUAAACACAUUUCCUGAUUGGACUUAGUAAGACAAGCCCAAAGAUGGUUGAAAUAUGUUUACAGGCAACUUUUCAUAGCCAGAAUUGCGUAUAUCGCAAAGCCUAGGUAUCAGUUUGGUCUUAAAGUCACUGGAGGUUGACCACAGACUUCAUGUUGUGUGGGGUUCAUUCAUUGGAAAGCUGGAGUGCGUGGCUCUCAGUGUGAAGGGAGGGGGUGUGUGUGUCUCUCUUCCUGUCCCAAUGGAGAGGGCGGAUCCAUUAGCAAGAGCUACUGUGACGCCGAGUUUGAGACCUUUGAAGUCCUCGCAGCAGCACGCUGCAGAGGCGGAGGAGCAGAGAGCUGAUGUGUAGAGGUAGGGUCCCCAGAAAUUCACUGUGGUGUCAUAUAAACUAAAGACGUUUGCUCUUUUUCUAAAAAUUCAGAGCUUUUGGUGAAUCCAAAAUCUUGAAAUUGACCUUACUAAGACCUGGGGAAAGCCUGAUGCUCGGCCCGCUCUAGGAAAGUUUUUAAACCUCACCAGAUGUUGAAUUCGUGACAAAAACGAGACCCCACUCGACAGAUUUGUUUAUACAGUGUGAGGAGUGAGAGGAUAUCACCAUACAUUUUAUAGGUCACAACAUCUUUCACAAUCAUGUAGAAGUAAUCAAACAUGGUGGAUGGCUGACAGGGAGGUUGACGUGUGGGAUACAUGCUACAAGGUAAUUGGGCCGAUUUUGAGCCAGAUUCCCACCAGAGCUGUUGCGGGAUUUUUGUGAAAUUAAGCAUGAUUUCACCUCUUACUUUCUUCUUCUUAGUUUUUAAAAUUGUGGCGAUAUACAUCCCUUAAAUUUCUUUUGACAAUCUCAGGUACACCAUGUACAAAAAGUUGCUUAUGUAGCAGAUCUGAGUAUAGGCAGUAUAGUUAAUAAGGCUGCUGUAGGAAUCAGUUCAGAGUACAGUUGAUAGACAUUAGUAUUGUUGCCUUUGUAUCUGUGCUUACGAUGCCUGUCAACCGAUGUGUUGACAGUAUCAGUGAAUUAGCAACAAAAAUACACCAGCAAAAGGAAAGAGUAUAAAACAGCUUCAUUACCUGCACAAACAUUUAACUGAUUGUGCAACACAUACAAACAAUCAUUCAUGCCUAAAUGGCUCACUGUUAAUUUUCCUGAUUUCUAUAUGCUGUUUUUUCUUAGCAGCACAUCUUGACUUACAAAUUUUACUGUAUAGUUUGGUCCCACCCCUGAUGGUAGCGCAGAAUAAAGCAGACUUUGUUUUGUGUCAAAUGUGUCAUAAAUUGUGGAUAUUUUCUGUGGAAAUGGUAGAAAUAGAGCUUUUUCUUUAACAGCUCCCCCUCACACAAGUUUCAGGCCCUAAAAAUCAGGAUUAAAAACUCGCAGUUUUGAUGCUAGUGGUCUCAUUUGCUUUUGGAUACCAUUGGAAAGCAUCAAUAUGAGUUUCAGUCUAUUUCCUAGAUGUGAAAAAAACUCCUUAUAGUAGCUUUAAUCAAUCAACAAAACUGAGGGUUGUAUUACUGUGAUGGAGAAGCAUAACAGCUGCAUGCUCAGGAUGGAAGAGGCUGAGGAUGAAACUCUGCUAUAUGCUUAGUCUGGUUUUGCAUGUCCAUUUUAUUCAUGAGAUGUUGUUAAAUUUGUUUUUUAGACUUGUGAGUGGUCUGAAGAUUUUUUUGGGAUGAAUAUUUACCUCAAAAAGAUGAUAUUUUGUCAUUUCAAAUAGCUUUUUUCCCCGUUAAACACUCAUGUUGGGAAACAGUAAAAUAUCAUGUGACUUGUCUUGGAUUUUUCAAUUUUUCAAAAACCAAAGCACUCAACACUUAAAGCUCAUUAACGAGCCCCAGAAACCAAAGAUUAUCGUGUGAUUGUUUCCAGGCUGUGGAAAUCUUUUAUCUGACAUCAGGAAGAUAGAGGAAGACAAGUAUUAUAUAAAGUCAUGGGAUGAGAAAGAAAAGCAGAAGAGGACAGAAGACAGAGGAGGUUCAGGAGGAAGAGUCAGGCCACAGAUCUGUUUCCAUCCUCUCUUUCUGUUUAUUGAACUGUAAUCAUGAAUAAUACCCACCAUAUGUAGCACGUUACCGGAUUUCCUCCGCUGUGCUUCAGCCGGGAGUCUGCGUUCACUCAAACUCCAGUGUUAAGGUUAACCAAACAUGUCUCUGCGCGUACAUCCUGGCUACAUCACACAGUGUGUUUGGACGGCAGCAAUCCCUCCAUGGCUGGCCAAACUAUCUGUAACUAAAGACACAUGUGUGUAAAGUACCUAAAAAUGGGCUGUUAGGCACAUAAACCCUCAGUGAGUGAAUGAAGGAGUGUGAGCCCGUGAGCUGUGAUUAAGAAGAAGAUCACACUCAUUUAGACAUGAAAUAUUUUAUAUCACCUCGUAUAUUUGUGAAAAUGUUACACCUGUGUUGGUUAUAAAUCAACUUUGACAGUAUAUGAAUGUGCCCAGCAUGAAUAUUUGAUAAAUGAAACUUGUUAAAGUGGAUGGCAUGAGUAGAAAAGGGCUGGAAUUUGACCCUUAGUUAUGUUUCAGGCUCUUAUUGUUGUUCCUGUUGCUUUAGAGACAAGCGUUAAAAAGAUGGGGAAGGACAGGAGAAAGUUAGAAAAUGGCUGUUUGUGCAGGCGGUCAGAGGGUUUAACAAACUCAAAACUUCUUCCAAGAAAUUUUACAAAAGUCCUAGACUGUGUGGAAAAUGGACACAGCCGCCAUGUUGUCUUUGAUUGGUUUGUCGACAAAGAAUCAAGUCUGGAAUCGUCGCAGUUUCCUUGGUGGUUUUGUGGGUCCAGAAGUGGUGCAGAUGUAAGGAGAAAGAUCUGCACCCACAGUUUAUGAUCCGUACAAAACACACUAUAUUAUCUAACUUUGAUAAUGGAAACUAUAAUUUCAAGUAAAUUAGCAGAGGGAGCUGCUGAAUAACUGAGCCUUUAUGGUAAAUACUUAGUUUAAAUCUACACCUAUGGCAGAGUCAUUGGAGUUUGUAACCGUUGUUUCCCAUAGUGUUGGAUUCUGGUAGUUAUAGUUGAUGACUAAAGUUGAUAAAUCAUCACAUUAAUUUUGCUAAAAGAGCUUGCUCUGUCUGGACCAGAUUAGGAUUAACUAACUCACUCUUGGCGCCAACUUCAUCGCAAUUUAAGGCGCAUUUUUAGCAUUUUUUUAGACCUCAAAGGUUGUGAUUUGGCAAAAUACAAGAACAUCUCCCAGGUACCAUAUGAGUGAAAAUUAUAAGCAGGUAUUAAUAAUUUCGUAUUCAUUUAAACUGAGCUAUAAUAUUUCUCUAAACCUAACCACUUUGGAGGUAUUUGCCAAUAUCAUUUUGAAGAAAUAUAAUAAUCCACCUGCUCAUUUGUUUCCCUUUUACUCCCACACAUAAAGUAUGCAAAGCAGACCAUUUAAAAUCAUUUACUCAAAACUUUUUCCUCUGUAUUUGUUUGUGACUUGGUGCGUAAAUAAGCAGCAUCCUGUGAUACUCUUGCAGCACUUAGGGAGAAACCAAAUGAGCUCUCCGCUCAGAGUGAAACUCGGGGAAAAGUGACGCAGCAAAUAAGAAGAAAAGAGAGGGAAUCCUCCUCCACCUCUGCCCGAGGUUAUCAGUGCCGGGUUAUUUCAGCCGUGGCAUACCUCCCAAAAACUUCAAAGAGGGACGAGUUCACACACACACAUACACUCUCACACACACUCACAGGCAGUCCGCCAGCCAAACAAAUAAUUAACAAAGUCAGUGAGGUUAAUUAAAGCGGCAGGGUUCAGGCAGGGUUCAGCCUUCUGUGUGGGAGAGGGGGGAGAGCGGGACUCCUCUGCUGGAUGCGAUUAGAGAACCAGAGAAGAAAGGGAGGAGAGGCGAGGGAAAACAGUGGCUGUCAUUGAUAUCCAUCUUCAUGUAAACAGCUGGCUGUGUGGAGGUGUGCGUUUGUGUGUGUGUGUGGGAGAAAUACUGUUUAGAAACUUUGCGUCCUACUGAGCCUCAAGCAAAAAAACUCCAGCUUUUGUUUUUCAGGAGUUUCAUGUGUCGAUAAAGUAAGAUAAACCUCACUGACAUAAACUCAAAUGUACUAAAACACAUUUUUUACAUAAGCUAGUUUCACCCACGACACAUAAGAGACAGAGGUUAUCAAGAGGAAGCAUCUUACUGAAAAUGUAAAAGUCAUCUGAAGACUUUAUUGUACAUAACAUGAGAAUUUCUCUGUAAACUGUGUAAUUAUGAUUUUAUGGAUCAUUUACAUGAGCUUAAUGACUAUUAUGUUGACUAACUGCAUGUGUCUCGACAUCAUUAUCCCUCGUUUGGAAACACAGUAACUUUCUUACAGCAUUGAAUCAUAAAAAGAGUUAUCAAUAAAUGCACAUAAGUAAACACACAGGACCACAUACUAAAAUGAUCAGUUUGCAAUAAAAGUCACAUCAUCCAGUAGAUUAAGCUAAAUGUCAUAAAAAUGUAAAUAUUGUUUUUUAGUAUUUAUAACACAUCAUGUUUAAAUUCUUAAUAAUCAGUAUUUAAAGGCAAAUUUCUGACUCAUGCAAAUUAAAUGGUUUUAAUGGCUAUAAUAGGGUUGUACUGCUUUUCUGAUUAAGUAUAGUAUGUAAACACUGUAUGAGUACAUGUUUCUAAUAUUAAAUUGUAAUGUCUUUUUCAUUUAUUAAGUAGAAUCAGUAAAUGCCUCCCUGAUUAAAAAAAAUGUAUAUAUGUAAAUCUGCAUCUCUAUCCAGUUUCUCUCUUGUGCUUGUUGUCCUGUAAGGCUACAUUUGACCUCCUGGAGAGUAAACACGGCUUUUAUCUUAUCUGAUAUCGGUUAGAUAUUUAGCAUGAAUUAAAAUAUUUGAAGUAGCGAAAGCUUUAAAAUCGUGUGUGUGCUGUAACCUCCUACCACUGUGAGAAUGGGUACAGUCUCAUCACAUGCAAAAGCUUUCAUUGAGAUUAAAUCCAGUGAGAGACAGCAGAUGUUUAGAGUUGGAUUUGCACCAUGCAUGCAGCCUUAAAGACGAGUGCAAUCAUCCACAAACACGAUAUAAAAUACCUCAAAGUAGGCACAAUUCUGGAGAUGUGGUGACACAAAUGUAUCUUUAAUGUUGUUUAAUCCUUAAUCCUGUUUAUUCCAUCCCUACAACAUCCAAACUAACCCAGUUUGGCCGCACAGCAUGUCUCUGUAUUGACAGGAGCACCGAUACAUCAGAUGACGUGUUUUAAUAGCAGCUCACUCUCUCCCUCUCUCCUUCUCUGUCUCUGGGACCCUCCUCCUCCUCCUCACCCCCCCCCCCCCCCCUUCUCGCCCCCUCCCCCGGUCUCUUUCAGCUCUGUGUUUUGGCAGCAGCUCUCCUCCUGCAUCACAAAGCCCGUACUCUCAGCUUGUCCGAUUGUGUUGCGAACAUCGCAGGUAAUGAUUAACACAAACACACAACAAUGGGAGCUUCAGCACUGCAGCCAGCGUGGGAGUCAAUCGUCUUCGAGUCUGGAUGGAGAGAGACCACAAGCAUGCUGGGUGAUUUUAGCUUUGUAGGUUCGAGAAAGAUGGAAAAAAAAUUGUUGCAAUUCUGACAACUGUGGAAGGACCAACACGUCAACAGCUUACUAACUUUUCUGAUACCCUGACUCUUUCUCUUAUACCAAAAGUUCAGAAAGACAAUAAAAAGGAAACUCAGUGAAGUUAAACUGAUCACUUGCUCCUUAAAAAAAAGGGUUUCUUCUUCUUGGGAUUUGCCUUUUUCUUUUUUAAAAUAUCAGAUUUAUAUUUUAAUGAUUAGAUUUUGAUUGAUUUAAAGCAGCAGUUUACUCUUUUAUUCUUCUUGUUUCUCUCUCAAAGCUACAAUACAAAGUUUUACCAGGGUCCUUUAGAGUCGAUGUGAUCAUUUUGGAGAGGAGCAUUCACCAAACACUCAGAAAUUUAAAUGUAAAUGGGACCUGAUGUUUCCAUAAUGAGUCCCCGCUGUGACGUAGACUAAUGAGCGACCAGCCACACCUCACACAUUCCUCCUGACCUUUACUCCACCUCACUUUCCCUCCACCCAGGACACACAACCCCUCACUUUACCCCAUGAUUGUCAUUCACCCCAACAUCACCCCUCCUCCUCAAUCUGUUAUCAGCUGUCAGG